AUUGAACGCUGGCGGCAGGCUUAACACAUGCAAGUCGAACGAUGAAGAUAUAGCUUGCUAUAUCGGAUUAGUGGCGGACGGGUGAGUAAUACUUAGGAAUCUACCUUUUAGCGGGGGAUAGCUCGGGGAAACUCGAAUUAAUACCGCAUAAUUUCUACGGAAUAAAGAGGGCUUUUAGCUCUCACUAGAAGAUGAGCCUAAGUAAGAUUAGCUAGUUGGUGGGGUAAAAGCCUACCAAGGCGACGAUCUUUAGCUGGUCUGAGAGGAUGAUCAGCCACACUGGGACUGAGACACGGCCCAGACUCCUACGGGAGGCAGCAGUGGGGAAUAUUGGACAAUGGGGGCAACCCUGAUCCAGCCAUGCCGCGUGUGUGAAGAAGGCCUUUUGGUUGUAAAGCACUUUAAGCAGUGAAGAAGACCUAUUGGUUAAUACCCAAUAGCGAUGACAUUAACUGCAGAAUAAGCACCGGCUACUCUGUGCCAGCAGCCGCGGUAAUACAGAGGGUGCAAGCGUUAAUCGGAAUUACUGGGCGUAAAGCGAGCGUAGGUGGUUAAAUAAGUCAGAUGUGAAAGCCCUGGGCUCAACCUAGGAACGGCAUCUGAAACUAUUUAACUAGAGUAGGUGAGAGGGAAGUAGAAUUUCAGGUGUAGCGGUGAAAUGCGUAGAGAUCUGAAGGAAUACCGAUGGCGAAGGCAGCUUCCUGGCAUCAUACUGACACUGAGGCUCGAAAGCGUGGGUAGCAAACAGG
rnacentral:rRNA from 1 species